CAAGAGAGAGAGACUGGAGAAGGAGGGAGGGGAAAGAGAGAGGGUAGGGGGAGAGAGGAGAGAGGGAGGAGAGGAGAGGAGAAAAAAAAAAAAGAGAGAGACAGAGAGACUGAGAACCAGGACUCACACCCAGGGCUGCACCUUUAAGUAAGGCUAUACUUAUAACCUGUGAAAAACAAAGUAUUUUUGUUUCUUCUACUGAUUUUCCCUUCUCAUAGAAGAUUACUCCCAGAGCUUAGUUUAAGUAGCAAAUUCCAGUUUAGCCUUAAUCUUUCAGGUUUGGGAGACUCAUCUCCCUUCACCCCAAGCCUAGCUCAUAGUAGUGAUUUUUAUUCUGAAGAGGGAAAUCAACUAACAAACAGGAUGAGUGAGGACAAUAUCCAGAUAUUAGCUCCUCCUCAUCAGCCACAGAAGUUUGUGUCUACUCUCUAGCUCCACCUACUGGACCUUGUGUAAAUCACCUGAAUAAAUGCACAAGCGCUCACUGCAAGACCCCAUGCUAUACAAGGCACUGAGGGAAAGGAAGCAACAUUAUUCUUUCAGGGACUGCUAGGAUUAAAAGAAACUUUUAAGGCGAAUCUCCUCUUUUACUGAAGAGAAAACUAAGUGCUAGAUGCAUUGGGCAUUUGCUGCAUGUGGAGUCAAAUUGGCCAGAGUUUGAACCAUGGUCCUGCCACUUCCUGAUAAUGGCACCUCAGAUGCAGCCUACAUCAAGGAAGCUGCCUGCUGUUAGGGGAACAGGAUACCUGCAGAGGCUCCGGUCCUGACAAUGCCUUCAGCUCCACCUCCCACCAAAGACCUGUGUGGUGUCAGCAGCAGCCCCAUUUGCAGGUGAGGACAGAACUUAGAGCCCUGACUGUUGGGACCCUCUCCACCUAAAAUGCAACCCCCUGAGGUGCUGAGGAGCACACCAGAGCCUUCUUCCACUUGCCAGCCCUUCAGCUAUUUACAGAACUUCCCAGAGCAGGUUAUCUGCAAUGGAAGCAGUGAUGCAGCACCCACAUGUCCCAGAGGAAGGGUUGUCAGCUGACAGCUCACAGCUGGAUCACGCUGGGGGAUUUUUUUUCUUUCCCCUGGAGAAAAUGCAUCUAAUGACUGAUUGAGAUGACGAACAGAAGUCUGGCCCUUUGCGUAUCUGGGCUGCUGACCCAAUAAAAUGGAGCCCCUGUGACCUGCUUUCAGGGCUUUCACAACUGGUCCCGCAUGACGACCCUGCCUGACAACCCCAACUUGGCUUCAGCCUUCCUCUUGCUGGAUGACUUCAGCAAGUCAGACACUCUCCAUGCAUGUGCCUUCUCGUUUAUAAAACAAAGACAGGAUUAUUGUGAGAAUCAAAUAAAAUAAUGGAUAUAAGCA
rnacentral:lncRNA from 1 species